GUGGUUGUAGCUCAGUGGUAGAGUGCUUGCCUUGCAUGCAUGAGGCCCUGGGUUUAAUCCUCAGCACCACA
rnacentral:tRNA from 1 species